AGAGGAGUGAGAACGUUCGAGAAAGAUUUCGAGAGGGUUUCAAGACACAGUUUCAGCGAUGUCUUUGAGUGUUUAAAACAAGAAUCUGUCCUGUAAUCAGAACUACUGCUCGUAUUUCUUCGCAAAGGAAGUGACUUAUUAAAACUUUGGACUAUUUUAUACUUUCGUUUCCCGGGUUGGAGAUGUCGGUGAGCGUCGUCCAGUGACAUGGUGAGAAUCCGACGCCCAGGCCUGUUGUGCACGGAGACAUUGCAGCACGUGGGACUCAGGACCAUUUCAGUGUGGUGAAUGUGAAUCUGUUUCAACGCACACUAGCAACCAGAUUGAGAUGAUGUAGUCGAAAUCUGAUGGGCUGGUUACAAUGGCAAAGCCGCCUUCUGUGUUUCUGCUUUAAUUAAACGCGCUCUAAGAGGAGUGAUGGCACUGCAGCCCCAUUGUGUCAGUUUCCAGGAUGCAGAUCUAGGGAAGUGGCUGAUGCAGACUUUUUACACUCCGUUUUGACAAUGUACACAUUAUGCCUCAGUGUACACAAGUGUCUUUCUAUUUGCUUUCAUCAGAGUUGGGGGGGUAAAGGGGGUGACCCAUUUCUUGAAAACUGUAGGAUAUGCCUCAGGAAACUGAUUGUAGUGUCUAUGCAAGGAGCGUUGGUAGGUAUGCAUGUUGCACUCCAUCUUAUGAAGAAAACUGCUUGGAAAUAUUGGAGUCAAUGUACUUGGACUUUUCUCUUAGUCAAGUACAGCUAAGUGUAAUUUUAAGUAUGUUUCUGAGAAGUAUAUAAUAUGAAAGUAUACUUUCUUAUUUUCCAGUUUAAAAUAAGUAUAGUAAUUUGAAUAAUCUUCUUUUUUGUUAGGGUGUUCAUUUUUAUUUAUUGAAAAAA